CCUAAACAUCACAGUUUACAGUGUGGAAAGUACAGAAGUCAUAAGAAAUCAGAUACCAUCUGCAAGGCUGAUAAAAUAGAUGCUAUAAUUUAUUUGGUCCUGGGUACAUAUGCACGUUUGUUAUAUACGUAAACUGCUUGUCGCCAGGGUUUGGUGUACAGAUUAUUUCAUCACCAAGGAAAACCAUAUGGAUAAGAUUAUAAACACAAGAGAGGAAACAAAGGAUUAAGUAAGCUGAAGAAAUGCCAAAUUUCUUACUUCAAGGAAAAGGAACUAAAAAACAUUUUGUCCAGAUUUACCUGCCAGAGGAUUCCAGGGAAUGGCACUAGGCUGGUCCAACAGGGAUGUCCAGGUAUAAGAAAAAGGAAACCAAAUAAGAAGAGAGGACAAUAGAUUCAACAUGGAUAAAUCAGAGAUAUGUGAGAAUGAAUAAAAAGAACAAAAACUAAACUAAAGAAACAGUGAAUUUGUCUUCUAUUUUACUCUUAAAAAGAAGUUCUGGUCAUGAAUAUAAGAGAGUCAGCAGCCAAAAUGAAAAUCCAGCAGUUCCUUAAGGAAGUAAAAAUUUUCAACCAUUUCUAAUGUAUACGUAAA
rnacentral:lncRNA from 1 species